GCCCACAUGACUGUAACUAAUUUCUCCCCUACAACUGAGGAUAACCUCAGAAAUGCGAUAGAUUUUCUGGAAAAGCUUAAUCUUAAGAAUUCUAGUAAUAACAACAAUUCCAAUCAGAGCAGCACUGUAGGAUCGUCUUCCAGAUCUGGCGCGGUGUGCCAACAACUCAUGAUAAAUUCUAUUUUAAGGCAUUGACGAGAGCUGGAGUGAUGCUUCGGGACGGCGGCGACAAGUGGGGGAUAGACGGCGACCAAGAAUAGAAAAGACAACGGAGGAUUCUGAA